ensembl:snoRNA SNORD83 Small nucleolar RNA SNORD83
GCCACAUGAUGUUUGCGAUGGGAAGUGAGCGCUGCGCGCGCGGUGCUGACCUUUAUCUAUCACCCUUGACUGAUGGCU